GUUUGACGUUAGCGACAGAAGAAGCACCGGCUAACUCCGUGCCAGCAGCCGCGGUAAUACGGAGGGUGCGAGCGUUAAUCGGAAUUACUGGGCGUAAAGCGCAUGCAGGUGGUUUGUUAAGUCAGAUGUGAAAGCCCGGGGCUCAACCUCGGAACCGCAUUUGAAACUGGCAGGCUAGAGUACUGUAGAGGGGGGUAGAAUUUCAGGUGUAGCGGUGAAAUGCGUAGAGAUCUGAAGGAAUACCAGUGGCGAAGGCGGCCCCCUGGACAGAUACUGACACUCAGAUGCGAAAGCGUGGGGAGCAAACAGGAUUAGAUACCCUGGUAGUCCACGCCGUAAACGAUGUCUACUUGGAGGUUGUGGCCUUGAGCCGUGGCUUUCGGAGCUAACGCGUUAAGUAGACCGCCUGGGGAGUACGGUCGCAAGAUUAAAACUCAAAUGAAUUGACGGGGGCCCGCACAAGCGGUGGAGCAUGUGGUUUAAUUCGAUGCAACGCGAAGAACCUUACCUACUCUUGACAUCCAGAGAACUU
rnacentral:rRNA from 2 species